rnacentral:rRNA from 1 species
ACGAACGCUGGCGGCGUGCUUAACACAUGCAAGUCGAACGCUGAAGCUUGGUGCUUGCACUGGGUGGAUGAGUGGCGAACGGGUGAGUAAUACGUGAGUAACCUGCCCUUGACUCUGGGAUAAGCCUGGGAAAAUGGGUCUAAUACUGGAUACGACAUGUCACCGCAUGGUGGUGUGUGGAAAGGGUUUUACUGGUUUUGGAUGGGCUCACGGCCUAUCAGCUUGUUGGUGGGGUAAUGGCUCACCAAGGCGACGACGGGUAGCCGGCCUGAGAGGGUGACCGGCCACACUGGGACUGAGACACGGCCCAGACUCCUACGGGAGGCAGCAGUGGGGAAUAUUGCACAAUGGGCGGAAGCCUGAUGCAGCGACGCCGCGUGAGGGAUGACGGCCUUCGGGUUGUAAACCUCUUUCAGCACGGAAGAAGCGAAAGUGACGGUACGUGCAGAAGAAGCGCCGGCUAACUACGUG